UACAGAGGGGGGCAAGCGUUAUUCGGAAUUAUUGGGCGUAAAGGGCGCGUAGGCGGCUUGGCAAGUGGAUGGUGAAAUCCCUCGGCUUAACCGAGGAACUGCCGUCCAAACUGCUUUGCUUGAGGCCGGGAGAGGUGAGUGGAAUUCCCAGUGUAGCGGUGAAAUGCGUAGAUAUUGGGAGGAACACCAGUGGCGAAGGCGGCUCACUGGACCGGUACUGACGCUGAUGCGCGAAAGCGUGGGGAGCGAACAGG
rnacentral:rRNA from 1 species